UACGGAGGGAGCUAGCGUUAUUCGGAAUUCCUGUGCGUAAAGCGCACGUAGGCGGCUUAGUAAGUUAGAGGUGAAAGCCUGGAGCUCAACUCCAGAACUGCCUUUAAGACUGCUUCGCUUGAAUCCAGGAGAGGUGAGUGGAAUUCCGAGUGUAGAGGUGAAAUUCGUAGAUAUUCGGAAGAACACCAGUGGCGAAGGCGGCUCACUGGACUGGUAUUGACGCUGAGGUGCGAAAGCGUGGGGAGCAAACAGG
rnacentral:rRNA from 1 species